UUUAGCGUCUCAAAUCUUUCGAAAAGCAGCGAACCCAGAAAGUUCCGCUUUGCUUAUUAUCACGUUUCGUAACUUCAGUGCGUUUCAUUCCUCAACUUGCUCGUAUCGUUCUUUCGCAUCAACUGCUGUUAAAUCAGAAGCAAUACGCCGAAGAAAUCAUUAUGCGGGCGGGCAUGACUAAUUGUAGUCCGUCCCCUACUCCUAAACUCCUAAACAGAAGCUUAGUGCUUCCGCAGAUGAGCCGUUCAUCGAUCCGGCCAAGUAUCAUACGGCGCAUGGCUGCAUUAAAUCGGAUUUUGCGCUACGUACGGGGGUCUAUUGAUUUUGGCCUGCAUAUUUAUAAGUCAAAUGUUCGCAACUUGGUAUCAUAUACAGAUGUAGAUUGGGCAUUGGGUGGUUUCCCGGACACCAGAACGUCCAGAUCGGGCUAUUGUGUGGGGUCUAUUGAUUUUGGCCUGCAUAUUUAUAAGUCAAAUGAUUUUGUUUUUUAGCGUUUGUCUUUAGCCUAUUUUGUCGUUUAGUGGGGUGAUAGGUAUCUUGAAAUACAUAUAAGAUAUUGAUUUAUUUUUCCUCGUUGCUUUCAAGCCUUAAUUGUUAGUACUACUAGCUAUUACUACAUUCGCUUCAAAAUAAUCUUUAUAUUUUUCGUUUUA